rnacentral:lncRNA from 1 species
AUUUAUUUUUAUCUUUCCUAGGAAGGUUUUACACACUUUUAUAAAAAUUAAUGUUUAGAGGACUGACAUAGGAAAGCAGCUUCCAGUUAAAAAUAGUGUGCCCGGGCUCGGGUGCUCAAGGUCAAAUCCAGAGUCCACUACUUUUUUUUUUUUUUUUUGAGACAGAGUCUCACUGUCACCCAGGCUAGAGUGCAAUGGCACCAUCUCGGCUCACUGAAACAUCAGCUAUUCUCAUGCCACAGCCUCCUGAAUAGCUGGGCCUAGAGGCGUGCACCACGACGCCCAGAUUUUUUUUUUUUUUUUUUUUUGAGACAGAGUUUCACUCUUGUUGCCCAGAGCUGGAGUGUAAUGGUACUGUCCCAGCUCACAGCAACCUCCACCUCCCGGGUUCAAGCGAUUCUCCUGCCUCAGCCUCCGAGUAGCUGGGAUUACGGGCAUGCACCACCAUGCCGGCUAAUUUUGUAUGUUUAGUAGAGAUGCGGUUUCUCCAUGUUGGUCAGGCUGGUCUCGAACUCCUGACCUCAGGUGAUCCGCCCAUCUCGGCCUCCCUAAUUUUUGUAUUUUUUGGUAGACAUGGGGCUUCACCAUGUUGGCCAGGCUGGUCUCGAACUCCUGACCUCAAGUGAUCCACCCACCUCAGCCUCUCAAAGUGCUGGGAUCACAGGUGUGAGCCACUGUGCCCAGCCCAGAUUCUACUCCUUUCUAAUUGUGUGACCUUGAGCAAAUUAUUUCCGUUUUGUCUUCUGUAAAAUGGAAUGUGAAUAGUGAUUAUCUCAUGGGGUCGUGAGGGCUAAAUGAAGAACCACAUGGAAGUACUUGGCUGGUGCUUGGUAUACAGUAAGCAUCCAAUACAUGUUCAUGACGAUAAUGCACAUCAGCACUCCUGGUCUUGAUUUUGCUAGGGACAUCUCACAGGCGGGACUUUUCCCAGGCCACCAAAGGUCAUUCCACCCUCUAUGUCCCAAAGUCUACUAUACUAUGUCUCUACCAUCUAGGUACCCACAGUCUAUCCUGACUCAUCAAUGAGGUUCCGUAUCCUUCACAAUUUUGGGUGCUAUUUGAUUUGUAUUCAUUGUCAAAAUGAUUAUGGCAAUACAAAAUGAAACGGCAGAAAACACAAAAUCACACAUAAUUGGAACACCCCAAUCAUUGCGUAAAUGAUUCAUUUCUUCACGUCUCUGUCCAGCCUUUGUCCUUUUGUGAAUGGAUCAAAUUACUAGUACUAUUUUGAAGCCCUUGUAUUUUUUAAACUUUACCUCCAAAGCGCUUUCCGUCUUAGCAUAUACUCUGGAUCAGCACAGUACUGCAGAAGACAAACGGAUCUAGCUAAGUGGCCAAUGUGAAACACUGAAACAGAAUGCUGAAAUAAAGGCCAGGAGCAGUGGUUCACACCUGUAAUCCCAGCACGGCGGCUCGCACCCAUAAUCCCAGCAGGGUGGCU